rnacentral:misc_RNA from 1 species
AAAAAUUUAUUUAUUUGAAUUUUUAUUUUUAUUUGAAAAUUUAUUUUCUUUUAUAAUUUUUUUUAAAAUUAGCAACCGACUUUUAGGUUGCUAAAUUAGUUGAAAAUAGCAAUUGAUUUACAAACUGGUUGCAAAAUUAUAAAAUUAAAGACACCAAAUUUGUUGCAACUGAUUAUGUUUCGAUUGCUAUUAACAACCGAUUUCAAUUACUAAAUCGGUUUCUUCCAACAACCGAAAGUUUUUUACCAAAUUUUUUUUAAAGUUUAAUUAAUUUAGCCACCGAUUUGGUUAUCGGUUGCUAUUUACAAUAGAUUUGGUUGUCAGUUGUUAUUUGUAACCGGGCUCAUUGUAACCUACUGAAUCGGUUGCUAAAUCGAUUAGCAACCAAUUUUAAUGGAUUAACAACUGAUUCGGUCGGUUGUUAAUUCUUUCUUUUUUUUUUUUUUUAUAGUGAAUAUACAUUCUCAAUAUGCUUAUGUUAAUAUCUCACACAGUUUGGGAUAGGGUUAAUGUCCCCUUAUAAAGCCUUUGGCACUCCUUUCUCCUUUCCAAUCGAUAUUGGGCCUUUAUAAGUGUUUUAUGCUCUAAGUGUUUAGUCCUAAAUGUGAGAAGUGUGUUAAUAUUCACUUUGUUUUGGGAUAGGGAUAUUGUACUCCUUUUAAAGUUUUAGGCACUCCUCCCCCUCAAUUAGCUUCUGGGAGUGAAUUAAAUUUGAUCCAUUUUCUUAAGAGUUUCUUUCUUGUUAGGUUAUUAUAAGUUUCAGUGAUUUCUGGUUUUUUCAUAGGUUAAUUGUUCAGUUAAAUUGCUGUGAAAGUGUAUUUUGAUUUUCUCUUCUUCUAAAUUUAUUAUGACGUAUAUCUUAUCUUAUAAUUCAAUGAUAAGUAAAAGAAGAAAAAGAAAAGGGAAAAGUACAAUUUAGUAUCCUUUAUUUUUGCACUUUUUUAAAUUCAAGAAUUAAAGAAUGUUUCAUGAUAAAUCGAGUAUUGAAUUAUAUCGCUGUUAGCAAAUCGAGAAAAAAAGUGGCUAACGCUGUUAAGUGUGCUUACAUGAUGUUGAUGUGUCAUGUUUGACAUAGUAUCAUGUCUGACAUGGCAUGAUGAUGUCAAACCACAUCAUUGGGGCACACUGACGUCUGCAUGCCACGUUAGCACAGUUAAUGGCGUUAGCCACUGAAUCCCCAAAGUGUUAACAAUGUAAUAGUUCAAUACUCGAUUUGUCACGAAAUUUUUUUCAAUUCUUGAAUUGAAAAAAGUGAGAAAGCAUAGGGCACUAAAUUGUAAUUUUCCCAAAAGAAAAUCUUGUUCUAUCUUCUACGAUGCUCUCAUCCCUUUAAAAAUUUUCCAAUGUACUAAAACAAAACUGCAGAGAUGACUUUUGCCAAAAAAAAAAUUCCAAAUAUUAUAGGGAUUAAAGUGGAAGCUGAAGUGCAUGGAAGAAAGCAGCUUAAGUUCCUAAAUCAUGGAGAAACUUAUGUGAUGAAUGCACCAAGUUUGUUGAUUAAAUUUCUACCGCCUGGUCUUGAUUGGGUUGGCAAUGUUAAGAUCCACUGUCAGGAGACUGGCCUUGAAGCUGAGCUAUGUUACUCAACCAAUUCUUUCUUAGGACACAGAGGACACCAUUCCAUUAAAGGAAGGAUCUACCAAUCCUCUUCUAUGAAGACUCUUUAUGAGGUUAAGGGACAUUGGAACAGGUAUAUAUUCAUCUAUUUUACAUUAGAAAGUAUGUUCUUUUUUUUCCCUGCUUCAUCUUUUAAUUAUUUCAUCAAAAUGGUUUCCCUGAUAAUUGAUGAUGUGAGCUUUCCUUGCUAAUUUUGAAAUGCAGCAUUGUGACAGUGAAGGACACCAAUAAUGGGAAAGAGAGAGCUAUUUACAAUGCAAAAGAAGUAAUCUCAGGGCUGAAAACUCCAGCAGUUAACGAUCCUCAGGUACCUCAACAUUGCUUUAACACUUUUUCUUUUUUAGUUUAUUUGGCUCCAACUGGAAUUUGAGACCUUGGAGCCGAGGAGUUUACUCAUUUUCUAAUUGAGUAUUCAAGCUAAAUUAGGCUGUAAAAAACACCAAGCCAAAUGGAUUUACAAGAAAAAAAAUGAGCAACCCAUCGCAAGUCGUGUCAGAAAAUCAUGAAAAUUUGGGCUAUAAAGCAUGAAAGUAGUGCAAACUAAGCUGCAAAAAAUGUCAGUUUACUGCAGGUUGUAAUGUUUCUUAACAAGGUAACUGAUUAUUUUGGUGCAAGAACAUCAUGAAUGACUUUUGUUCAGAUAUAUACCUGAUUUUGAGCUGAUUUUGUUUAAAUAGGGAGUUUUGCCAAGCGAAUCAGCUGCAGUGUGGAGUGCAGUUAGUGAAGGGAUACAGAGCAAAAACUGGGAGAAAGCAAGGGAAGUAAAGAAAGCUGUUGAGGAAAAACAGAGAGAACUUGUGAAAGACAGGAAUUCAAGAGGACAAACUUGGGUUCCUAAACAUUUCAAUUUAUCGUUUACCAAGGAAGGUGGUUGGGACUGCUCACCUAUUCACACAUGGGUGCCACCAGCUCCCAUUGUUGUCCCCCUUUGACUUUCUUUAAUCACAACAAAUUAUCUUUCUGUUAAUUAUAUACAUCAUAUAUAUAUAUAAAAUGGAAUUCACAUUUGAAGAUGUACCCAUGCAUCAAAAUCAACAUAGAUAGAAAGAUAUCAUUUAAGCUUUCAACUCUUGCACACCAAACAUUACAUUGAAAAGGCCAUCUAGUAAUUAAUUCUUGAUAGAUGCUAAUCUUUAUCAAUGAGUUUUAACUUAGUAAUA